UUUCGAGAGUCACAACCAGUUACAAAUAUCUAUUUUCAUUCAUAUUAAUUAGCUAGCUAGAUCUUUAAGGAAAAAAUGGCUGCAGCCAAAUCUGCUAUUGGCACUGGACAGACCGACAUCAGUUCACUAGAACCAGUGAAGCCGGCUGACCCUCACGUGAUCCAGAUCGGACAAUUUGUAGUGGAACAAGCUCACCACGGCAAGCUGCUUUUCGUCGCCGUGGUUGGCGGAUUCACGUGGAGCGUUAUUGGAGGCAAUUACUACGCACUUAUCAUUGAAAACCAGGAUUAUGAGGGCGCCACAUAUCUGCACAAAGCACUUGUUUUUGAGACCCCAGAUGGAGUCUUGGAACUCAUCUGGCACAAGAAAUAAUCAAACACUGCCGUUGAUCAACUGACUAUCAACGUCUUGAAGUACUUUAAUUAUCUAUCACUGUCUUUGGUGUGGUUUUCAGUUUAUGCUGGCAUGCAUACAUCUCCCCAUUGUUGUACUAGCAUGUAAGGUGCGCUUGUACCCGCAAGAAUGCUUUUGAGUUUGUAUCUUUGUACGAACACAAAUGCAACAUUUAAUAAAUAAAAACAGCCGUCUGUGUUUGAAUUUGUAUC